rnacentral:lncRNA from 10 species
CCAGAGAUGACUACAGCAUCUCAGGGAGCCCAAAGCCAAGGGGAGGAGCCAGGACAGGGUCUUGCCAUCUGCCGCUCACCCCCACCCUGUGCUCUGGGGACCGCUGCAUCCUCAGGCUGUGGACUAGGAAGCUGAGGGUCACCCAGACAAGAGGAGGUGCUGGAGGUCACACAGUGAAUAUGCCUCGCUGGCCUUCCUGUCUGGCGUGUCUUCCUCUGCCCCCAUCCAGGGAGGAUCACCUGAGCCCAGGAGGUCAAGGCUUCAGUGAGCUGCGAUCUCACUGUCAGGCCUCUGAGCCCAAGCUAAGCCAUGGCAUCCCCGGUGACUUGCACGUAUACGCCCAGAUGGCCUGAAGUAACUGAAGAAUCACAAAAGAAGUGAAAAUGCCCUGCCCCGCCUUAACUGAUGACAUUCCACCACAAAAGAAGUGAAAAUGGCCGGUCCUUGCCUUAACUGAUGACAUUGUCUUGUGAAAUUCCUUCUCCUGGCUCAAAAAGCUCCUCCACUGAGCACCUUGUGACCCCCCACUCCUGCCCGCCAGAGAACAACUUUGUAAUUUUCCUUUGUAAUCCCUUUGUAAUUUUCCUUUACCUACCCAAAUCCUAUAAAACGGCCCCACCCUUACCUCCCUUCGCUGACUCUCUUUUCGGACUCAGCCCGCCUGCACCCAGGUGAUUAAAAGCUUUACUGCUCACACAAAGCCUGUUUGGUGGUCUCUUGUGAGCUGCGAUCUCACCACUGCACUCCAGCCUGGGCAGCAGAGCAAGACCCUGUCUCUAAUAAAUCAAUAAACAUCCUCUCAGCAGUUCUAUGAGUGGGUGCUACUUUUAUCCCCACUUCACAGAUGGAGACACUGAGCUCAUGCAGGAGAGACUCCUGGCAGCAAGUUAGGGGCAAGGCAUAAACCAAGAUCUCAGCCCCAUCAGCGGGUAAGGACUGGCGCAGGAGGCAGUCCUGGCAUUUUC